UACGUAGGGUGCAAGCGUUGUCCGGAAUUAUUGGGCGUAAAGAGCUCGUAGGCGGUUUGUCGCGUCUGCUGUGAAAACUCGGGGCUUAACUCCGGGCCUGCAGUGGGUACGGGCAGACUAGAGUGCGGUAGGGGAGACUGGAAUUCCUGGUGUAGCGGUGGAAUGCGCAGAUAUCAGGAGGAACACCGGUGGCGAAGGCGCCACUCUGGGCCGGUACUGACGCUGAGGAGCGAAAGCGUGGGGAGCGAACAGG
rnacentral:rRNA from 1 species